rnacentral:lncRNA from 1 species
ACUGUGUAUGGUUUGCCCCUCUAAUGGUCACACCCGAAAGUCGUAAAGUUAAAAAGUUCCUAAAAGGCCUUUGUGCUGAUAUCUAUGAUUGGGUUGCGAUGUUAAGACCCAGCUCAUAUAUAGAGGUGCUAGAACAUGCAUAGUUGGUCGAAGACCUCAUCUCGGUUAGGCACCAACACAUUGCCCGAGUUCUUACCCAACAUCAACAACCCUAACAAACCAGAAGAAGAUUGCCCAUCCC